AGUGAACGCUGGCGGUAGGCCUAACACAUGCAAGUCGAACGGCAGCACAGUAAGAGCUUGCUCUUACGGGUGGCGAGUGGCGGACGGGUGAGGAAUACACCGGAAUCUACUUUUUCGUGGGGGAUAACAUAGGGAAACUUACGCUAAUACCGCAUACGACCUACGGGUGAAAGCAGGCGAUCUUCGGACUUUGCGCGAUUGAAUGAGCCGAUGUCGGAUUAGUUAGUUGGCGGGGUAAAGGCCCACCACGGCGACUAUCCGUAUAUGGUAUGAGAGGAUGAUCAGCCAGAUGGGAAGUGAGACACGGUCCAGACUCCGACAGGGGGCAGCAGUCGGGAAUAUUGGACAAGGGGGGAGAGCCGGAUCCAGCCAUACCGGGUGAGUGAAGAAGGCCUUCGGGUGGGAGAGCGCUGUUGUUGGGAGAGAAGAGCAGCAGGUUAAUACCCCGCGGUUCUGACGGUACCGAAAGAAUAAGCACCGGCUAACUUCGUG
rnacentral:rRNA from 1 species